AUACGGAGGGUGCGAGCGUUGUUCGGAAUCACUGGGCGUAAAGGGCGCGCAGGCGGUCUGUCAAGUCAGAUGUGAAGGCCCACGGCUCAACCGUGGACGUGCAUCUGAAACUGGCAGACUCGAGUACCGGAGGGGAAAGUGGAAUUCCCGGUGUAGAGGUGAAAUUCGUAGAUAUCGGGAGGAAUACCGGAGGCGAAGGCGACUUUCUGGACGGAUACUGACGCUGAGGCGCGAAAGCGUGGGGAGCGAACAGGAUUAGAAACCCUAGUAGUCC
rnacentral:rRNA from 1 species